rnacentral:tRNA from 1 species
AUCUCAGAAGCACAGUGGUUAGUGCACAGCCCCGGAUACGUUGAGACGCGGGUUCGAAUCCCGUUUGAGACG